UACGUAGGGUGCGAGCGUUAAUCGGAAUUACUGGGCGUAAAGUGUGCGCAGGCGGCGCCGCAAGUCGAGUGUGAAAGCCCCGGGCUUAACUUGGGAAUUGCGCUCGAAACUAUGGUGCUGGAAUCUGGCAGAGGGGGGUGGAAUGCCGCGUGUAGCAGUGAAAUGCGUAGAGAUGCGGCGGAACACCGAUGGCGAAGGCAGCCCCCUGGGCUGAGAUUGACGCUCAGGCACGAAAGCGUGGGGAGCAAACAGG
rnacentral:rRNA from 1 species